GUAGGUGGCAAGCGUUGUCCGGAAUUAUUGGGCGUAAAGCGCGCGCAGGCGGUUCUUUAAGUCUGAUGUGAAAGCCCACGGGCUCAACCGUGGAGGGUCAUUGGAAACUGGAGAACUUGAGUACAGAAGAGGAAAGCGGAAUUCCACGUGUAGCGGUGAAAUGCGUAGAGAUUUGGAGGAACACCAGUGGCGAAGGCGGCUUUCUGGUCUGUAACUGACGCUGAGGCGCGAAAGCGUGGGGAGCAAACAGGAUUAGAUACCCUGGUAGUCCACGCCGUAAACGAUGAGUGCUAAGUGUUGGGGGGUUUCCGCCCCUUAGUGCUGCAGCUAACGCAUUAAGCACUCCGCCUGGGGAGUACGGCCGCAAAGGCUG
rnacentral:rRNA from 1 species